AUCGGUGAUCGGUAUCAGUAAGUAACUAAAGGUUAGUACUGGUAUCCUCAAGUAGCUCAAGGUUAGUACUGGUAUUGGUACUCAGUAUCAGUACAUAGCUAAAGGUUAG